rnacentral:rRNA from 1 species
UACGUAGGGUGCAAGCGUUAAUCGGAAUUACUGGGCGUAAAGCGUGCGCAGGCGGUUAUGCGAGACCGAUGGGAAAUCCCCGGGCUCAACCUGGGAACUGCAUUUGUGACUGCAUGGCUAGAGUACGGUAGAGGGGGAUGGAAUUCCGCGUGUAGCAGUGAAAUGCGUAGAUAUGCGGAGGAACACCGAUGGCGAAGGCAAUCCCCUGGACCUGUACUGACGCUCAUGCACGAAAGCGUGGGGAGCAAACAGG